CUUAACGCAUGCACUGUUAACAGCGCAUGAAAAACGAUUUACUUCUGAGUUUACUGACAAAACAAUGUGGCAGUAGGUAACGAUUUCGGGGUGAAAUGGUACAGAAGAAGAACUGUAGUCAAAACGUGAAUUCUUCAUCAAACACAAACCACUCGCUUGGGAGUCAUGAGCUGCUUGUGGAUGUGUAAUGGACCCUGGAGCCUAUCCCAGGGAGCAUAGGGCACAAGGUGCACCCUGGACAGAUGACAAUCAAACUCACAAUCACACACCCAUUCAUACACUACAGACACUUUUUAAAUGCCAAUCUGCCUACUGAUUGUCGUUGGAUUGGGGGAGGAAACCAGAGUACAGGAUGAAACAGGGAGAACAUGCAAACUCCGCACACAUGGCAGGAAUCGAAGCUCCAACCCUGGAGGUGUGACGCGAGUGUGCUAACCACUAAGCCACCAUGUGCCCACGCAGGGAACCUGGAGCCUAUCCAAGGAAGCAUGGGGCACAAGGCAGGGGACACCCUGGACAGGGUGCCAAUCUGUCACAGGGCAUGAUCUGUAAUUGAAAGAUAGAACUGAAAGUGUAAUUAUGCUUCAUUGACUAUGUUUACAUGGACAGCAGUAAUCUAAUUAUUGACCUUAUUUUGAAUAAGACAUUAUUAUUAUUAUUAUUAUUAUUAUUAUUAUUAUUAAGGUGUUUACAUGAAUCGCUUUUCUGUUCUUGUUCCUAUUUUACAUGUUAUAGAACACAGAUCGAUUAAUGGCACACAACAUUGUGUCCCCACGCCACGCUGUCCGACAUUCUCUCCAGAAUUUCACGUAUUUACAUACAGUUUUGCGUGUUUCAUUUUUUAUUUGAUGAAAUCUGAAAGUGCAGUUAAUUAUUUGUCAUGCUAUUCAUGCAAAUAGACAGCUGCUUGAAGCCAUGGGCUGCGUCCCAAACCACAUACUUCCCUACUAUGUAUUAGCUCCGUGGUUUUCA
ensembl:lncRNA